rnacentral:rRNA from 1 species
AGAGUACUGCCGGUGACAAACCGGAGGAAGGUGAGGAUGACGUCAAGUCAUCAUGCCCCUUAAGUUCUGGGCUACACACGUGCUACAACGGUUAACACAAUGAGCUGCAAUUUCGUAAGAAGGAGCUAACCUCAGAAAUUUAAUCCGAGUUCGGAUUGUAAGCUGAAACUCGCUUACAUGAAGCUGGAAUCGCUAGUAAUCGCGCAUCAGCAAUGGCGCGGUGAAUACGUUCCCGGAC